CACCACUCAAGCCUGGCUUGGUAUUGGGCGUCGCGGCCGAGCGGCCGCGCGCCUCAAAGUUUCCCGGCCGAGCUGUCCGUCUCUAAGCGUUGUGCCUCACGUUCGCUUCGGAGCGCGGGCGGCCCGCGGCCGUUAAAUCUUCCACAA
rnacentral:misc_RNA from 1 species